rnacentral:rRNA from 1 species
GAUGAACGCUGGCGGCGUGCCUAAUACAUGCAAGUCGAACGAAACUUCUUUAUCACCGAGUGCUUGCACUCACCGAUAAAGAGUUGAGUGGCGAACGGGUGAGUAACACGUGGGCAACCUGCCCAAAAGAGGGGGAUAACACUUGGAAACAGGUGCUAAUACCGCAUAACCAUAGUUACCGCAUGGUAACUAUGUAAAAGGUGGCUAUACUACCGCUUUUGGAUGGGCCCGCGGCGCAUUAGCUAGUUGGUAGGGUAAAGGCUUACCAAGGCAAUGAUGCGUAGCCGAAUUGAGAGGUUGAUCGGCCACAUUGGGACUGAGACACGGCCCAAACUCCUACGGGAAGCAGCAGUAGGGAAUCUUCCACAAUGGGCGAAAGCCUGAUGGAGCAACGCCGCGUGGGUGAAGAAGGUCUUCGGAUCGUAAAACCCUGUUGUUAGAGAAGAAAGUGCGUGAGAGUAACUGUUCACGUUUCGACGGUAUCUAACCAGAAAGCCACUGCUAACUACGUG